UUUUCAAAACUUUAUUGAACAAGGUGAAAGUAUACAAUCAAAUUGCAUACAAAAUUGAACAAAGAAGAUGAAACAUAUGCCGGGGGUGCACUACAGAAAUGUUACACACAUCCAAAUAACUUAUAGGUGGUGCAAAUAGUUAUAGUUUUUAAAGCUUUUUUGUUUAGUGAUCCACUAAUCAAUUUUAUGUAAGAUAGAGUGUCACUAUAAUAGUGCUUGAAAUUAGGUUUUUGGUUACUAUAUUUGCAUUUGUAGAGAUAGAAUUUAGCUAGAAUAAUUAACAAAUUUAUAACAAAGUAUACAUCUUCCUUUCUGUGCUUGCGAAAAAAACAAAAUACAACAUUUUCCCAUUUUAAAACAAAGUCCUUGCAGAGCUGUCCGAUAAUAAAUCUGCUAAAGUCUUUCCAAAACGUUGUAGCAUGUGAACAGAUCCAGAAGAGGUAGCGUUAAGGUUGGUUUAUGCUUGACGCGUCUGUGAGGUUUGCACGGCUCCGUGCAGCAAAAUUGCGUCAUUUUAACAACCACGCCCCUCCACCGCGCCUCCGCACAGCCCAAACUUUACGCACCGCGCACCUAGGAAAUUUUCUAACCACGCGGACGGUCGAACACGGAAAAACAUGGCGGACCGGCAAGAACUAGCAUGGCAGAGACUCCAUUCAUGUCUGCUCUCGUCUUACAGUCGCCGCCAUUCCUCAGACACGGCUGGUGCCAAGGCAGUAGGAUGGCUAACCCCUCUCUCUGAUGGGAAUCUGUUGCUCAUGGGCUGGGUUGGCUGCCAAGUUUUGGUAUUAUUGGGUGAGGGAGGGGGGAGGGGUGUACAGAAAGGGGGCCCUUUAAACCCUGUGAGAUAGUGCUAUCUGCUGUGGGAAUGAUCUUCAUCCCUUCUCCCCCUUCUGUUAGACUUAGACUCCCUUCUCUCACACUGUUUCUGUUUCUCCCACUCUGCCUCUGGCCUAACACCCCAACACGUCACACACACACACACACACACACACACACCCUCCCCCACCGUCUCCCACCCUCUUGUCUUUUCAUUCUGUAGAUCAGGCGACCAUCCUGAGGUGAGCUGGCGGAGAUCCGAUGCCAUCGAGGGCACUUUGAUUACCAGCCGGCCCUGACUGCUGGAUCUCUCACAGCUUGUAUGCUUCUUUGGCUUUUCUCCCAACGGACGACUGUAACACGCAACCAGCAGGACGUUUAGCUGUGAGAAGCUUAGCUGAACCGGACGUCAGUGCUCGCAUGGGCCCAGAGGUCAAACAUGAGCUUUAAGGUCAGAGACUGGUUAAUGUGGGUUUAUCCAUCCAUCCAAGCGGUUAAUGUGGACUUCUCCUGACGUCCACCCAGGAAUGAUUCAUCCUAACUGUCUGGAGACUUUUACCUCUUAGAGUCUAAAACCUGAGCAAGUCACUCAAGGAUGAAGCACGAGGACUCGGAGAUUGUUCCCCAUUCAGAUCCUCCACAAUGGAGCUCAUUGGUUUAAAAACAACAUGGAGUUUUCCCCUUCUCUCUUUUUUUCUUUGCUUUUCUUCAACAACAAUUAUGCCUCCUUAAAGAAAAACAGAAGAAGUCUGAGAGACAUUUAUUGGGACGCUGUGGUCACGUAGAGCCAGUGUGCCAAAAAAAACAUCUCCUUUUGCAUCCGAGUCUGUUAUCAAUGCCUGGAGGUGAAAAUGAGUUUUUCUCCUGUAAAUUAAAAUCUUAAA